GGGUGGUAACUUGCUAGGUAACAGGUCGACACAGCAAAAUUAAAAGCUAACGCCAAAUAGAAGCAAACUAGCUAGUCAAUUGCAACACAAUUUUGACCGGCAACACUGGCAAAAUGGGAAGUCUAGCAAACCCAGCACCAUGCACCUCAAUCUCUUCCUCCGGCCAUCAAACAGCAGAGAUGGGCGCGGUAACCCUGCACUCAGCUCCGGGAAACCCCACGCUGUUGUGGCGUCACUACGCACAAGAGGGAUCGUCGACGCAAACUCUACUGGGAGCCAUGCGCGGUAACGGGGUCAGUCGACAAGAGAAGACUGAAGGCGAUCUCUAAUGAUUCUGUAAGGAGGAAUGAUCAAAGAUCCCCCUAAUAUCCUAUGCUCACUUCAUGAAGGCCUUAUAGAAGAUGACUCUUUGCAAAGGGAGCAUGCACAUACUACUGAAAAUCUAUUCAUUUUUUGUGAAUAUUUGUUCGUUUUUAAGAAUUAGAUUGGUUGAUUCCACUGAAUAAUUAUU